rnacentral:lncRNA from 1 species
AAAAAAGGAAGGGAUUGAAUCCAAAGAAUAAAAGAAUGAAAAAAUGUCCCUUCUGAACAUAUUUACAGGAGCCAAGGGCUCCAUGGCUAACCCAUAACAGCUAGCAGAGAAGCGAGAGAUUGAUGGAGCACCAAACAAUGGAAAAUAGGAUCUCAACCACAGUUGAGUGAACCAAAGAGGUCCACUGCCAGUGGGAGAUGCACCUUUCUUCAAUUGAGUUUGAAGAGAGGCCAUGUCUCUAUAGAGGACAGCAAAAAACAAAGAACAUAAAUUCAAAGGCCUGCCACGUGCCAAUUCGUGCGCUAUAGGUAAGUAACUCAGGGAGGGCUUUAUACUUGGCACACACAAAACAUAUUUACAAAGCCAAACUAGAAGGAAGGCCACUCGCUCAGUAUGGGAAGGCUCAGCGCUCGAAUGAUUGUGAAGGGUUUGCAGGCUUGAAUAAGAAUCGGUGUAGUUUUUACCAAACUUUGGGGCGCCACCAGAAACCAAGAUACCAGGAAAAAUGGUAUCGCCCAAAGUUGGUAGAUUCACCAGGGCCCCAACAUCCCUUAAGGUAAUAGACAUGGGGCCAAGAGGGAAAAUGAAGGUGUUAUACUCGGAAGACCAAAAACUCAAAACAAUCGAAAAGAGUGCUGAAUCAAAAGUAGGGGGGCGAAUAGAGAUUUCUAACAAAUCAGAAAUCCUAGCGCUAUCAAAAAAUGCCUUAGUAGGACCAUGACCCACAAGGCGAGCAUGCCACCUACGGAAAGCUACAUCAGAUUUAGGCCAAGUACGAAUACCUCUUUCGCGAAGUGGCUCCAGCGGCAGAGAGUUUAGAAAAGGAGGGCCUUGAGUGCAAGGAAACAGCUGACCCACCGCCGCCUGUUCAACUGCCUCUGCAUUGUUGAAAAAAGGACCCAAGUAGAACUCAUUACGUUCGACAUCGACAGGCGCGAGAAAACUCGGAGUUAUGUAUAGGCGACUCAGAAGUUUCUGAAAGUCAUCAAAACUAAAGGAGUCGCCAGCUUGAGAUUGUGAAGCAGCCAUUUGAGAAGGAACGAAGUUUUCCAGGGUUAUGUAGCAGGGAAGCAAAAGAUGAACAGUAAAUCGUGAGAGAGACGCAAAAAAUUUGAGGCGUGGUUUAAUGGUACAGUAAAAUGGCGUGUUUGGGGGGUUAUAAGGGUUUGCAAAAUGACGCACCUUUUCAAGUUAUAGAAGAAAACAAUGAUUGAAAUUCUUGAGAAUUUCGAAUGUUACUGGAAACACAAAGUGAAUAUGGCAAAAUUUAAUAAUUAUUAUUAAUUCUGCCAUAUUGGGGGGUAAUUGUUGACACAUAAAAAUUCAGCCCAAAUCGAACGGCCCAAGGAGUGAGCCCAAUUGGAGGAUCCCCAAAUCAGAUAGCCCAAAGAACGAAGCCCAAUCAAACAAAUCAAGAUGAAGGCCCAAAUAGGGAGGCCCAAGAACAAGGUAACGCCAUCGCCCAAGUUUGCAAGUCGCCCAGAAUCUGAGCGAAUGGAGUACCAUACAGUCGCCCAGAGCUGUUACUCUAUUCUCGUCCAAACCUUCAAGUCGCCCAAGGUCUUAACAAACAUAAAACGUUGUGGUUAUCAAGACGUGCCGUUAUCAAAGCAGUUAUUAAAGCAGCCCUAUCACGUUCCACGAUUCAAGGAAUUCAAUCGAAAGCGGUUGAACGACGAAGAGUAAUGGCAGCAGUUAAAAAGGCAGUUUUCAUGACAAGUUGGCCAUUACGAGGAAAGUGGGCAGUUAUAGGACGAUCAAGCGGUUUUUAGGCGGUUGAUCACAAAGAGAUCGUCUAUGAAGUAUAAAAGGG